UACGUAGGCAGCAAGCGUUGUUCGGAGUUACUGGGCGUAAAGGGUGUGUAGGCGGUUGGAUAAGUGUGGUGUGAAAUCUCCCGGCUUAACUGGGAGGGUGCGCUACAAACUGUCUGACUAGAGUGUGGGAUGGGAAAGUGGAAUUCCUGGUGUAGCGGUGAAAUGCGUAGAUAUCGAGAGGAACACCUGCGGCGAAGGCGGGUUGCUGGGCUGACACUGACGCUGAUGCGCGAAAGCCAGGGGAGCGAAGCGGG
rnacentral:rRNA from 1 species